GGGGGUGCACCGGUUUCGACGGGAGCUUCUGAGGCGCUGGAUGCAUGCCGGGAACCAUGUAACCCGUACCUGCAUGGAAAAAAAUAACUGCGAACAACGCAGAACUAGCCCUGGCUGCUUAAUUGCGGCCAGCGUCCUACUCGAUAUUGCCUGUGUGUUGAGAUAGGGCGUCACUUUAGCAGGCUGGCUUUCAGGUUGUGAUCAGGGCCUGAAGGCGAGAUUGAAACUGAGCUAGUCGCAUCCGGGGCUUGUCGGUUCAAUACCGGAUUCGAUGAAACUUCUUUGAACUGGCUAAGCAUGUAGAUUCCACCGCUGAUGACUUUCGGACAAGGGUUCGACUCCCUUCACCUCCACCA
rnacentral:tmRNA from 1 species